rnacentral:lncRNA from 1 species
UUGGGAUUGUCCGUAGUUUGCGAUAGAUUAUUUAAAUAUCAGUCCUCAUUAGUAGUAUAUAUAUAAUAAUGCCAGAGUCCUAAUGUAAUAUUUUGCUUAGUCAGCGUGUGAUGUCUCAUUCGAAGCACUGCUGAGUUGCUGACAGCAAGAAUAAAUUGACAGCUUAUGCACGUGAAAUCAUGUUGAUAUCUGAGGGUGUUUUAGGUGCUCGUUGGGUGUAGUAUCUUCUCUGUGGCAGUUGACCAUACUUUCUAAAAUCGAUGGAGGGAUUCCCAUGACAUUUCUUGUCGGCCUGCGUUCUCUGCACAUUAUGACUUUAUGAGUGGCUCCAUCAUCUAUGGAAUCGUACUUUCAGGCUUUUCAGUGUUCCAGCUCCAAGUUGUUUUAUACUCCCUCCAUCCCAAAUUGUAAGUCAUUCCAAGAAUCUUGGAGAGUCAAAGCAUUUUCAUAUUUGACUAAAAUUAUAGGGUGAAAUACUAGAAUUUUUUUUUAUUUUUAGCCUAUUUUUAAAACAAAUUUCAAAUUUAGACUGCUUCUUAAAAAAUUUUCAAAUCUAGGCCGUUUGGCCCCGCCACCAUGCAUGGCGGGGCAAAAACACUGCACCGCCAUGCAUGGUGGCGGGGUAGACCCUGCCACGUGGCGCUGCAUGGCCGAGGUGGCUGACCUGGACCUCGCCAUGAUCGCUGGCGGGUUAGGGCUACCCCGCCAUGGAUCAUGGUGGGGUACGUACCAAGCAAUGCAAUGCACACGAGGCAGAGAGCUGGACUUGUUUAGUUCCAAAAAUUUUUGGGAAAGUCGAUACUGUAGUACUUUCGUUUGUAUUUGAAAAAUAUUAUCCAAUCAUGGACUAACUAGGGUCAAAAAAUUCGUCUCGUUAAUUUCGACUAAACUAUAUAAUUAAUUUUUAUUUUUAUCUAUAUUUAAUACUUCAUACAUACGUCUAAGAUUCGAUGUGACGAGAAAUCUGAAAAAUUUUGCAAUUUUUUUUGGAAAUUAAACAAGGCUGACAAGACAUGUUUGUCCUGUGGUCUGCUCACGUAUGAAUUGAGCACAUCAUGGAGUCUAGGGUCACAUCUGUAGUCUA